rnacentral:rRNA from 1 species
GACGAACGCUGGCGGCGUGCUUCAUACAUGCAAGUCGAACGGGGUCCAUCGAGUGGCAACACUCGUGAAGACCUAGUGGCGAACGGGUGAGUAACACGUGAGGAAUCUGCCCCGAUCUCUGGGAUAACAGCGGGAAACCGCUGCUAAUACCGGAUGGGCUCGGCGAAUGACAUCUUUUGCCGAGGAAAGCUUUUGCGGACCGGGAGGACCUCGCGGCCUAUCAGCUUGUUGGUGGGGUAAUGGCCCACCAAGGCUCCGACGGGUAGCUGGUCUGAGAGGACGAUCAGCCACACUGGGACUGAGACACGGCCCAGACUCCUACGGGAGGCAG